rnacentral:tRNA from 1 species
AUAUAAAUAAACUAAAUAAAGUUAUUAGACUCAUAAUCUAAAAAUAGAAUAAUAUUCUUUUAUAUA